rnacentral:lncRNA from 1 species
UUUUUUUGUAGUUUUUAUUUGAACACAGUAUUCUGACAGAAUGCAAAGUCAAAAUCCUCAGUUAGUAUCAGUAUUUACACCAGUGAGAAUGGGGAUAAAGGUGGAGUCGAUGUUUCACUCGGUAAAAAGAUUUUUUGUUUUUUUCUUUUUUUAACAAGAUAGAAGGCCCCCAAAAGUAGGGAAUGCUGGGGAAGGAUGGCCAUGGAGGGGCUGAGAACAACUACCAAAACAGCCUGGUGGGAAAGACGUGGGGCUGGAAGGCUCCACAGAAAAGUGUGGAAAGACGACGCCACUCGGGAAGCUGACGGGCACGAUUGUCACCGGUACGGAUGGAGCAGCACGAGAUGGCAGCGCUCCUGUGGCACUGGGGACGGGCAGGGGCAGCCACGGCAGUGCCACCAACCCCAGAGCAGCCACGGCAGUGCCAGCAGCCCUGGGGAUGGACAGCAUGCCACCAACCCCAGGGAUGGACACACAGAGCCAUGGCAGUGCCACCAACCCUGGGAUAGACACACAGAGCCAUGGCAGUGCCACCAACCCUGGGGAUGGACAGCAGUGCCACCAACCCUGGGGAUGGACACAUGGAGCCAUGGCAUGCCACCGACCCUGGGGAUGGACAGCAGUGCCACCAACCCAGGGAUGGGCACACAGAGCCAUGGCAUGCCACUGACCCCAGAGCAGCCACGGCAGUGCCACCAACCCUGGGAUGGACACACAGAGCCAUGGCAGUGCCACCAACCCUGGGGAUGAAGACACAGAGCCAAGGCAGUGCCACCAACCCAGGGGAUGGACACAUGGAGCCAUGGCAGUGCCACCAACCCCGGAGCAGCCACGGCAGUGCCACCGACCCUGGGGAUGGACAGCAGUGCCACCAACCCUGGGAUGGGCACACGGAGCCAUGGCAGUGCCACCAACCCUGGGAUGGACACACGGAGCCAUGGCAGUGCCACCAACCCCGGGAUGGGCACACGGAGCCAUGGCAGUGCCAGCAACCCCAGAGCAGCCACGGCAGUGCCACCACGCUCAGGUGGUCCCCCCGAGGGGACAGAUCCCAGCCCUGAGGCUGCAGCUGGCUGGGAUGGGGGCAGGUGGAGAUGGAAUCUGAAAUCCUUGGCUGUUGGGGGCGAUGGAAGCCCGGCCCAGGUGUGGGGAGGAAAGGAACUUCAUCCACCCACCCCAAAGCAGAGCUUCUACCCCCCAAAAAGCAGAGCUUUGGGCUAGAAGGGACCUUCAAGCCCAGGCAGUGCCACCCCCAGGCUGUCACCGGGCGCUGGGCUGGGCUCUGAGCUCGUCCCCUUUUGGGACAAAAACGCCAAUCCAGGUGGGGCAGCUCCCCCAAGCCCACCUGGCAGGUGCUGCUGGGGGUCCCUGGGCAGUUUUUGGGGUCGGUGGUGUUUCCUACCAGCUUUGGGGGUUACAGCACACAGAUGACAAAGCCAGCCAGGAUUCGGCACAAAAAGGGACAAACUGUGGGACGGAGGCACCAGUGCUGCCCAGCUGCCUUCAUGGAUUCAUUUCCUGGGGGAAAAGAGAGGAAUCCUCGGGACCAAGGUGCCCCAUCCUGCCCAAAAUCCUGCCCCAACACCCUCCCCGUGCACCCCAGGAGCUGAGCGAGACAAAACGCAGAAAACCCCACAGCCAGCAAAUGGCAAGAGCAUUUCUCACAGCUGGAAAUGGUGGGAUGCCACUGGAACAGAGCGAACAUUCCCAAGGAACACAAGGACACAGCCCCCAGAGCCCUCCUCCUUCUGAGCCACCUCGGCCUGCUUCUCUCAUUUAACAGCUCCUGCUCUUCCUAAGAGUUGUUCUCUUUCUGUUUGCUUUCAAAUUAUUUCAAUUCCUGAAUAUUUUUAUUUUUGUUUCUCAAAUCUGAACUAGCGCUACACCUUCCACAUCCAAACUAUGUUGAAGCUUUUAUUAUUUCAAUACUAUGACAAAAAACACGGUUCACACUAAAAUAGUCACGCACCCACAGUGCACAAGCUUGCAGAUCUAAAGUAGAAUUCAAAAAAAAAAAGAAAAAAAAAA